GCCUGUCUGGCUCAGUUGGUAGAGCAUGCGACUCUUGAUCUCAGGGUUGUGAAUUUAAACCUCACGUGGGGUG
rnacentral:tRNA from 1 species